rnacentral:rRNA from 1 species
AGAGUUUGAUCAUGGCUCAGAUUGAACGCUGGCGGCAGGCUUAACACAUGCAAGUCGAGCGGUAACAUUUCUAGCUUGCUAGAAGAUGACGAGCGGCGGACGGGUGAGUAAUGCUUGGGAAUAUGCCUUAUGGUGGGGGACAACAGUUGGAAACGACUGCUAAUACCGCAUAACGUCUACGGACCAAAGGGGGGGAUCUUCGGACCUCUCGCCAUUUGAUUAGCCCAAAUGAGAUUAGCUAGUUGGUGAGGUAAUGGCUCACCAAGGCGACGAUCUCUAGCUGGUUUGAGAGGAUGAUCAGCCACACUGGGACUGAGACACGGCCCAGACUCCUACGGGAGGCAGCAGUGGGGAAUAUUGCACAAUGGGCGAAAGCCUGAUGCAGCCAUGCCGCGUGUGUGAAGAAGGCCUUCGGGUUGUAGAGCACUUUCAGUUGUGAGGAAAGGGGAGUAGUUAAUAGCUGCUUUCUGUGACGUUAACAACAGAAGAAGCACCGGCUAACUUCGUGCCAGCAGCCGCGGUAAUACGAGGGGUGCAAGCGUUAAUCGGAAUUACUGGGCGUAAAGCGUUCGUAGGCGGUCUAUUAAGCAAGAUGUGAAAGCCCAGGGCUCAA